AUAGUCCCUCAAAACCUGUCAAAUUCAUCCGAGCCGUCUCUUGCAGUCAAAGCAGAGCUCCCGCUGCCACUGUUAUGGCGGCGUCGUGGCGAUCGCCGUCACCCUCCGUCCUCAGCAUCGCUGUCUCUUGUAGUCAAAGCAGAGGUCCCGCCGCCACUGUUAUGGAGUAUCACUUCUUGGAAAUAUAGCAGCAAGAGAUAUAAAAAAACGAGCACUGUCUAAACUCACUGUCGAGAGCUUCUCAUCUAAUAUCCAUACAGAUCCAGAUAUGAAAUGGAGAUCCAUAUAGAUAUAGUGGAAAUGCGACAGAUCGCGCGAUGGCGCCAGGAUGAGCGGCUGGGGCGGAGACGAACAAGGUCGACGACCGCAGUAGCUUCGUUGCCGAGCGAGCUUCGUCACCGACCGCAGGAGGAGCUCCUCCUGCUCUCAUUGGCGACGAAGCUCCUUCUAUGGUCAGCGGCGACCAAGCUCCUCCUGCGGUCGUAGACGUUGUUCCUGUGGUCGCCAUUCCCGCCGCUAGUCCUCGUGCCGUCGCGAUCCGCCGCAUUUCCACUACUUCCAGAUAUGGAUCUGAGAUGAGAAGCUCUCGGCAGUGGGCAGUGAACAGCGCUCGUGAUCGAAACAGAAGAAGAAGUGAUAGAUUGUGCUCGUUUUUGAGUUCUCUUGUCUAUAUUUCCAAAAAUUGAUAUUCCAUGAGUUUAGACUGUGCUAGUUUUUUAGUUUACUUGCUGCGGUGUAAGUAUGAUAUGACAUUUAUCAAUUCACUCGAUAAUACUCUCUCUCACGAACGAUUAUCUUCUUCCUCUCAAGGUCAAAUUCGAUGUAAAGUUAAAUCAGACAUGAUUUUAUGGUAAUUAUUAACACAAGUAGUGAUUGGCUUUUGAUUCGCACAGAAAUGCCGGAAUCCGGUCCACGAAGCUCGGGCUUGAAGCGCAAGGCCGCGAAGUGGUAUGGUGAUGGGUGACUACAUCGAUGAUGAUGAGGAUGAAGAAGACGAGGAGGAGGAAGAUAGGAGCAAUAAUAAUCGAGGUUAUUUGCACGCGUAGUGUUCGUGAGUAUUUUGGUUAUUCGUGGAAUAUGGAGUGGGAUUUCAUACUUGCAGGAGAACCGUAGUUAUUGAACAUAUGAAGACGAGCGAGCCCCAGUCGUGGAAUCGGUCUCAACUUGCUGCGUGGAUGUUAGUAUGUUUUGUUCUGCCGCGUGCAAGUUUGGAGCACCAGAAAGACCCUUUUGUGCUGAAGAGGAAGAGAAAGGGUCUUACCUAAAUAAGCUGACCUAAAUCAGGCAACAAAUACAUUUAAUAGUUGACUCAUUAUAUGAUCCAUUCACAUCAUCAAUUGAAACUGAAAGAU